rnacentral:tRNA from 1 species
GCGGGUAUGGUGUAACGGUAGCAUACGACCCUUCCAAGGUCUUGGUGAGGAUUCGAAUUCCUCUACCCGCUCAA